GGAAAGUGCGUGAGUGCCGCGCCGGGGCGUCUUAUUUUGUUUUCCGGAUGCUUGAGUCUGGAGGCGGUAUCCUCUGGGAGAGGACCAGCAGGUGGAGGAAAAGGGCUUAUGUGCGUCUUCCGACGUUGACGGCCCCUCUCCCUGUUUCCCUAGGUUUGCUGGGGCGAAUCUUUCUUUGCGGAUUUCGAGAAAGAAGGGGGCCGCCGACUACGCGACUGGGUCAAGUGGCUGACGACGGGUCGGCUUCCUGGGCCGCCACCGCUUAGACCAGCGUGGGGCUGGGCUCAAUUGGCAGUUUAGAAAAAGAGGUAUAUUACAUAUAAAAGUGGAUAUUUUCCAUGAUAAAUGAAAAUGGCCAAUUCUUUAAGAGGAGAAGUAUUGAAUCUUUAUAAGAAUGUAACUGCUGUAUCUUGGACGAGACUAUCCAAAAGGAGCAGACUAUUUCAAAAGGCGUCUGAAGAAUGUUUUCCUUAAAAACAAAGAUGUGAAGGACCCAGAGAAGAUCAAAGAACUUAUUGAACGGGGCAAAUUUGUAAUGAAAGAACUAGAAGCAUUAUACUUCCUUAGGAAAUACAGAGCUAUGAAACAACGCUAUUAUUCAGAUACCAACAAAACUAAAUGAUCAGUAUUACUAUCAUUUGACUGAAGAUCAGUGCCAGCUGUUUAUGUACCAGCUAUGACAAAAAUAACUUUGAAGUGUCAAGAUAUACAUUGUGUUAAAAAUACCUGAGCCGCCUUACUAAACUAAAACAGGUUUCAACUUCUAUUGCUUUAUCAGCAACCUUUAUGCUCUAUUUUUAUAUAACUAAUGUUAAAUGUCAAUUUUAUAGUAAUUUAGCUAUAUAAUGUUGCCAACUACUUAUUAAAAAUUGAUGAGCACCCAAUUUUGAAUGAAAUAUAAUGUACUUAAGUUUUAAUGAAAAAUUUGCCAAUUAUUCUUAGCCCAUUUCUGCAUUUUACUGAGAAGCGAAUGCCGUUUAAUGUACACUUAAGCAGAAUAAUUUCUUGCAAGUUUAUUUCCCUUAACUUUUAAAGGAGCUCAUUUUUUACCCCAUUUGAAAUGUUAACAGCACAUAUCCAGUGUUCACUGCAAAACAAGUAGCAUCUGGUAAUGAUUUAAGUGCAGUUAGUAGAACUAAUAUGUAUAGAGUUAAGAACCUGAAACAGCCUACCAGUGACUGGCAUUACAUAAUAUGCCUAUUUAAUUAUUUAUUUCCAGUAUUAAUUUUGCAAUUGGAUGCCUUUGGGCCUUAAAUCACCUGUUGUAUACCAAUUACCUUCUUCAAUAAAAAGUAAUGAUUUAUGUUAUUCUA